UGGCAGAAUGAAAUUCCCUAGAUGAGAUAGUGGCCCACCUGCAGGGGCUCUACAGAGAAGUUGCAGGCGCCACAGAUCUGCACACCAAGUUCUUUAUGCAGAGAGUCAGAGAGAGAGUACUGAUGCAGUGGCAUUUCAGGCACUCUGGAGCAAGCUAACCAAGGUGGACCAUCUAAGAGGAGGGGGAUUCCCUGGACAGAAUUGAGGAGACUCAGGGCCAUUCUGAUGGGCAGCUGGAGGGAUGCUAUCCAGUGCAGUCCACCUGCAAUCAGAUGCUUGCCAGGUUUACAGAUUACAAACUGUAAGAGUGUUGAGGGAUGUAAGCUAAUGGUGUUGUUUCUUCCACAGCAAGCCAUUAUACUGGAGUGGGCCAGCUGGUCACUCAGAAGCAGAUGUCCAUGUAGCAAUAUGGUGAAAUAUGUUGAGAAUUAAUGUGUUGUUUAUAUUGCAAAUGUUUAAGGUGAAUCAGGCCCCUCCCAGAUUUGCACAACUGCGACUAUUUUCCACUUGCUCCUGGGGGCCACGGUGCUGCUGCUGCUCCUGUUGGUUGCACUGCUGUUGAUUUUUGGGGGUAGACGUUGGAGCAGGAGAUUUGACACCACCAGGAUGGAUGGUCAGAAGGGCCACAGGGGACUUUGGGCAAAUAUGGCUGAUCCCCAUGUAAAUGGGGGCGCUGACACUGAGGAGACGGAGCCAAUGGGUUUGGACCAGUACGAAGAGACCAAAGCAUAAAGCUCACCCACUGUUCCAGUUCUGCCACUAACAGGUUCCCCAUACGGCCCAGUGAGCUCAAUGCAUUUCUGAUCACGUUUUAUAGAAGUUACUAUUUCUUCCUCCUCCUCCUGGAAAUGAUUUGCCCCACAGAACCCCCCCCCCCCCCCCAUUCGUCUUUGCGUCCCACUUAACUUGCUGCAAUAGGACCAGGAGGCUGCUGCUGCUGCCUUGGGGUUUUCUGCAAUACUGUCCUUAGAAGGAGGGCGGCCAUUUUCCCCUCAUUAGGUUUUGCUGUGGGCGAGGCAAUGAGCGCAGGGACUAAAGAGGAAGUAAAGGUGGCCAUACACUGAGAGAUAUCCAAACAAGCCGAUCUCUCCCCGAUAUGCCCACCUUGAGGUGGGAGAUAUUGGGCUGAUCCGAUCGUGGGCCAUAGGUCGGUCCGACAGAUUUUUAGGGAUUUUUAGUCCUGUCCGAUCGACAUCUGGCCAACUUUCGGCCAGAUAUCGAUCAGGGAAGCCCGUCGGAGGGACCCAUACAUGGGCCGAUAAGCUGCUGACACCCUUUUAGUCUGUCUAACUCUAUGCAAUCAGACAAUCAGGUGGGGGGGGGGGGGCAAGAGGAGGAAUUAGAGAAGGAGCAGGUUUUCUGCUUCCCAUGUUUCUUGUGACUCCUUGUUAUAUGCCAAGUACAUGGAAAUGUCCAUGCCCACCACCACAGGUCCCACCCUAGACCCCCCACACUGCAGUGAAAAACCCAUUGGUGGCCAGGGCCCCCCGUUACAAGUUAAAAAAAAAGAUUGGUGGUCAUUGGCCUAUAGAGCAGGGCCGUAACUAGGGCAGGCAGUAAAGGCACCCACCUAGGGCACAACAAUAGGGGGGUGCUGUGCAGGUACCUGUUCUGUAGUCACUUCCCUCUGCUGCUCAAUACUCUCCUCUGCCGUUUCCCCUCUGUCACUGCCCCCAUGAUGUCACAGUGUGGGGAGGGGAGCAAGGUUGCCGGCCAGGUUGCCUAGGGGCCGGUCGGCUUGGCCCGUCCCAGCUAUAGAAGAUUAAAAUAAUACAUUGAUAGCCAGGGGUUUAAUAAAAUAAAAAAACACAUUGAUGUUUAGUGGAA